rnacentral:rRNA from 1 species
GACGAACGCUGGCGGCGUGCUUAACACAUGCAAGUCGAACGGAAAGGCCCUGCUUGCAGGGUACUCGAGUGGCGAACGGGUGAGUAACACGUGGGUGAUCUGCCCUGCACUUCGGGAUAAGCCUUGGGAACUGGGUCUAAUACCGGAUAGGAGCCAUUUUUAGUGUGAUGGUUGGAAAGUUUUUUCGGUGUAGGAUGAGCUCGCGGCCUAUCAGCUUGUUGGUGGGGUAAUGGCCUACCAAGGCGGCGACGGGUAGCCGGCCUGAGAGGGUGGACGGCCACAUUGGGACUGAGAUACGGCCCAGACUCCUACGGGAGGCAGCAGUGGGGAAUAUUGCACAAUGGGCGCAAGCCUGAUGCAGCGACGCCGCGUGGGGGAUGACGGCCUUCGGGUUGUAAACUCCUUUCGCUAGGGACGAAGCUUUUGUGACGGUACCUAGAUAAGAAGCACCGGCUAACUACGUG